UAUCUUUCCACUAUCCUUAUUCCAAAAAUUACCCAGAAUUAUCUCCUUCAAUUAAUUGCACAAAAUUGCUCUCACACUAUCUUCAUUCUAGAAAUUACUCUCUCACUUAUCUUCGUUUCUUCAGGUAUCUUGCAGGUCUCUUGGAUAUGCUCCAGCUCCUACAUCCUUUAGUUCAAUGUCCAGUUCUGUCAAUGUGCUCUCAUAUAGAGAACGAGCAUUGAAUGAGCAAUCACUGCACCACCAAUUUACAAAUAUUCUGUUUGCUCAAUAUCCACAAUAUAUUUUUCUCCCUUUUGAUAUCCAGGAGCUAACAACCUUGAUAUUCCAAAGGCAACUUGAGCCCCAUAAGAUAUUUUUACAGCAACGAAUUGAGCGCUAGGUAUUCGAGAUUGACUAUGCAAAGGCUUUGAAGUCAACUUUGAUAUCGGUAACUUCAUACAUACGGGGACUCUUCAUGAUUGACAAAACUCCAUGAUAUUACUGCCUGGGAUUGGACUAUAACAACAAUCACAUGUGUUGCACUAAUAAAAAGCUUGGUGGCUUGUUUGGAAGGAGGAGUUCAAUUCAGUCCCUGCUCUGAGGAAGGCAAUUAUAUAAGUUUACGGUCCUAUUCUAUCUGUAGCUUACUGGUGUACCAUUAUUACUAAUCGUUUUGCUCUUGCUAAUCAUUUUUGCUCUGAAAAUAGCCAAAUUUUCUAAUUUCUA